rnacentral:rRNA from 1 species
CCAAUAGCGUAUAUUAAAGUUGUUGCAGUUAAAAAGCUCGUAGUUGAAUUUUGGAUCUGACCAAGCGGUCCGCCUUUGGUGAGUACUGUUUGUGUCGGGUCUAUCCUUCUGGUGAGCUGGUAUGCCCUUUAUUGGGUGUGUCAGGGAACCAGGACCAUUACCUUGAAAAAAUUAGAGUGUUUAAAGCGGGCAUAAGCUUGAAUAGAUUAGCAUGGAAUAAUAGAAUAGGACGCUGUGGUUCUAUUUUGUUGGUUUCUAGGACCACCGUAAUGAUUAAUAGGGAUAGUUGGGGGCAUUAGUAUUCAAUUGUCAGAGGUGAAAUUCUUGGAUUUAUUGAAGACUAACUACUGCGAAAGCAUUUGCCAAGGAUGUUUUCAUUAAUCAAGAACGAAAGUUAGGGGAUCGAAGACGAUCAGAUACCGUCGUAGUCUUAACCAUAAACUAUGCCGACUAGGAAUCGGGCGACGUUAUUUUAAUGACUCGCUCGGCGCCUUAUG